GUGAAAGGGCGUGACUGUGGCAUGUCCAAGUGUGAAAAGGCAUCGGCUUUAGGGACGAAAAUAAUCGACGAAGAUGGCUUGUUUGACCUGAUACGAAAUACUCCAGGCAAGAGGUCCAAGUAUGAAAUAGCAGCUGAAAUGGAGG